CACGUAGGCGGUGAAUCGGGUUGAAAGUGAAAGUCGCCAAAAAAGUGGUGGAAUGCUCUCGAAACCAAUUCACUUGAGUGAGACAGAGGAGAGUGGAAUUUCGUGUGUAGGGUGAAAUCCGAAGAUCUACGAAGGAAGGCCAAAAGCGAAGGCAGCUCUCUGGGUCCCUACCGACGCUGGAGUGCGAAAGCAUGGGGAGCGAACG
rnacentral:rRNA from 1 species